UGAGCCGCCGCCGCCAUCACAGGCCGACCGGCUCACACGCUCGAGAAAAACGCUCCCGCUGGGAUUCAUCGACGGCGGUGGGCGCCACACCCACCUCGCGACAGUCCUGGCCAACGGCUCAGUUCAUUAAGAACGCCUCAGACUUGCAGCUCCGUUGAAGCGAGCCAGGUCAACAUGUCAUCGUCCAGAUCAAUCAGGCCUUGUUCGCCAUUCGGUUGCCGGUGUUUGGGGCAACUCCUGAUGAUGUGCUGUACUGUCUGGACUGGGUCCCCACACUCGCGGGAGGCACUGUCUGCGAGUACCCACCUCUUCAUUGCAGCUCCAUAGCGUCCAACGCCCGUCCUCAAGCGGUUGAGGGUUGUCCACUGUUUCCGGGGCAAGUCCUGGUGGCCUUGGAAGUGUCAGCUGCUGUUGUGCUGAACAGCUCAUGGGCUUGGAUGGCAAAGGGGCGUCGUGACUCUAAAGUGGGCAAAUAGAAAACUGCCAGCCAACAAAGCAAGUUGGUUGAACAGCAUCUUCAAGGGCUACGCCGGUGACGUGAGCGCCUCGUCGUCUCUGCGCUUGCAAGGCAUUGUGGGACGAUUUGUCAGAGGGCCGCCUUGAAUAAUUCAGCCUCUUCUCUGGAUAUUGACCGCGUUUCUCUUCCUCAUUCUUAAUAUUUCAUUUCAGCACUCCUCCUCUGACCGACCUUCCAGGGCCGUGAAUCAAAGUGAUAUACGCCUUCUUCCGAAGCCUUAGCUUACCAAAGCGCAUCGAAACUAGGAUAUUGUAGUGGAGUAAAUAAAUGUAUUUUAG